UUGGGGGGAGAGUAAAAGGGGAGAGGAAAGAAAUGUAUUUUUCAUCAGCCAGUGUAUAAUUUAUAAACAGCAUUAAACAGUUUUUGUUUUCUUUCUCCUCUCUCCCGUGUACGGGCUUGGACGGUAGUCAAGCCUGCAUUAAUUUCUGCUUUGGGUACAGUGUGUUCUUGGAGACGCAUCUGCAAGCGAUCAUAAACGCGCUGGAAUGCUGGCAGAACAUCCAGACCUGCCGGCAGGCCAGUGACGACACCACUCUGGGAAAAAGUUCGGGAAGGAAGCCAAAUUCAGAGUAGGGAGAGAGAGAAAGAGAAGUGUGUUCAAGAGCGAGCUGGAGGAAAGCGGCUCCCUUCACCCUUUCCUCUCUCUGCAUCUACAUCACCCAUGCGGACUGAAGGGAGGGCAGCCUGGCCUCUGAGCCACCCCCAUCUAAUCUUCUCCAUUUCCUUGACCUGAAAACCAAAGGUGCCCCGCAUAAGGCAUGUGGACAGAGUGGAGAAACCUGAGCAAAGUUUCUUCCUGGUGACCUCCCGGGUUUGCCCUGAUGAGGAAAGCAGAAGAGAUCCAAUCUGGUGGACCCCUCCAGCCCUUUUCCCUGCCAGAAGGAUGACCGAGGUCCCAGGCUGAUUCCAUCUGAUAGGGAAAUGAGGAGGAGAGGAGGAAGACAGCGAGAGAGAGGAGGAAAAACGGCAAAGGAAGAACAAGCUGGAGUGCUGUCGCCCUUUCAGAAAUGACAUCUCCGCCGAAUUUAAUGCAGCCUAUUCUCGAGCAUCGGAGAAACGCUUUUCUUGCCUCCUCCUUCACC